UACCAGCUCUCCGAGUGGUAGGGAUGAUUAUUGGGCUUAAAGCGUCCGUAGCCGGCUUAGCAAGUCUCCUGUUAAAUUCAGCGACCUAAUCGUUGAGCCGCGGGAGAUACUACUAGGCUAGGAGGCGGGAGAGGUCGACGGUACUUCUGGGGUAGGGGUGAAAUCCUAUAAUCCCGGGAGGACCACCAGUGGCGAAGGCUGUCGACUAGAACGCGCUCGACGGUGAGGGACGAAAGCUGGGGGAGCGAACCGGAUUAGAUACCCGGGUAGUCCCAGCUGUAAACGAUGCGGGCUAGGUGUUGGGGGUGGCUACGUGCCACUUUGGUGCCGCAGGGAAGCCAUUAAGCCCGCCGCCUGGGGAGUACGGCCGCAAGGCUGAAACUUAAAGGAAUUGGCGGGGGAGCACCACAAGGCGUGAAGCUUGCGGUUC
rnacentral:rRNA from 1 species